GGCCGCGUGGCGCAAUGGUUUAGCGUAUCGGAAUCCGGCAGUGUUUUCACUUGUAGUUAUCCGGAGGUUGUGGGUUCGAGUCCCAUCGUGGUCG